rnacentral:rRNA from 1 species
AUUGAACGCUGGCGGCAGGCCUAACACAUGCAAGUCGAGCGGAUGAAGGGAGCUUGCUCCUGGAUUCAGCGGCGGACGGGUGAGUAAUGCCUAGGAAUCUGCCUGGUAGUGGGGGAUAACGUCCGGAAACGGGCGCUAAUACCGCAUACGUCCUGAGGGAGAAAGUGGGGGAUCUUCGGACCUCACGCGAUCGGAUGAGCCUAGGUCGGAUUAGCUAGUUGGUGGGGUAAAGGCCUACCAAGGCGACGAUCCGUAACUGGUCUGAGAGGAUGAUCAGUCACACUGGAGCUGAGACACGGUCCAGACUCCUACGGGAGGCAGCAGUGGGGAAUAUUGGACAAUGGGCGAAAGCCUGAUCCAGCCAUGCCGCGUGUGUGAAGAAGGUCUUCGGAUUGUAAAGCACUUUAAGUUGGGAGGAAGGGCAGUAAGUUAAUACCUUGCUGUUUUGACGUUACCAACAGAAUAAGCACCGGCUAACUUCGUG